rnacentral:rRNA from 1 species
UACGUAGGGUGCGAGCGUUGUCCGGAAUUAUUGGGCGUAAAGCGCACGUAGGCGGCUCUUUAAGUCUCUUGGUGAAAGGCUGGGGCUCAACCCCAUGCAUGCCGGGGAUACUGGGGAGCUGGAGACAGGUAGAGGCCAGCGGAAUUCCGGGUGUAGCGGUGGAAUGCGUAGAGAUCCGGAAGAACACCGGAGGCGAAGGCGGCUGGCUGGGCCUGAUCUGACGCUGAGGUGCGAAAGCGUGGGGAGCGAACAGG